UGGACCUUCCGGAGCUUCUCAGAAGAC
rnacentral:piRNA from 1 species